AUGUGCUCCGGCCCCUCUCCCUGCUCCCACUGUCCGAGAAGAGCAGCCUCGGCGCUGUCAGGACAGGUGUGUGGGGGCCCCAGGCGCCUCCCCACCCCUACGGCUCCGGCGCGCCAGCGGCACGGGGUGUGGGGAGACGAGCUUCUCCUCUGCCAGGCCGACGCGUGCGCCACCACGGCAGACUUGACCCGCUUGGUGAAAUCCAGUGCCGUGUUCCCGGGGCAGGCGCCAUUCCCGUGUUGGAGGGUUAAGGAAGUCCUACAGGAGGUGAAAGCAUCUCACCAGGAAGAAGAGCAGUCUCCCCAAGCCUGCGGUGUUCCCCGUGUGACCUGCCCUUCAGGACCCCUUCUACACCCGGCCUUGAAGAAGGGAAGGCGUCCCCCCGAUGCCAGGAGUCCUCUCUCAAAGACUGGAAGCACCCGAAACCUGCGACCACCAAGGAACCAAUGCAGCUCCCCUGAGUAG
rnacentral:lncRNA from 1 species